UAUAGAAUUCUAAUAUGAGAGUGAAAGUCACAGAGAUAUAUUCCCAGAGCAUCCAUCAACACUUGAUGCCUGGCUGUGGAAGUGCAGUCACCAGUCCAGUUAACAGCUUCUUCAAAUGUAACUUAACUGCCUCUGCCUGAGGCCUUGGUGCGUGGGGCCGAAAAGAAGAGGGAGCUACUUAUAACCACCGAAUGAGCAAGAAUAGAAAUAUGUCUGCAUGGACUUCACCUGACUACCACUACAGCUGCCUUGAUUCUGGAACCAAAAGUAGGCAGUUCAGACCACACAGCUCUCUUGUGUUACUGUGAGAAUUACAACACAUCUGUUGCAGCAUCAUUAGCAAUAUCCUACAGAGGAAGAGCAUUGGUGACACCCAGCAAAACCUGUAUAUUGCUCAGGUAACAAGAAAAUAAUAAAAGAGAGAAUAAGGGAGAAAAGAAAAGUCAUGUUUUCAAAUAUAAGAAGACUUAAUUUUUAUAUCACAGUUCAGACACAUAACAAAGCAUACCACAAAUAAAGAGAAUUCAAUAAGGCCAGGAGCUUGCAUUACAGGUAAAGAAAAAAAUAUUAGACUCAAAAUUUAUUUUCCCAGCUACUCAAUCCCUUAAAUGGAACUUUCACAAUGGAGACACCAGUUGCAAAAGCAAACCAGUUUCAAAAUAUUGGUGAAAGAAAUAUUGAAGAUAAUCUAACAUACAAUCACUGGAGGAUAGGCUUACUGAAAAAGAAAGCAGAAUGCCUAAUACGUUGUCACUACUGAACACUUACUAUAUCUAUCCACCUGCCAGAAAUAUACAAAGCUGGAUACACCUAGAGAGAAAUGAGUCCUAUUCCUAACCCUAAUCUGUUCCAUCUGUUCACUUAAGGAAAUGUGUGCACCACAUCACCUAUAAAAGGCAGUCAGGAAAGUACAAUGUAGAUGGUUAUUCCUUCAUAUCUAACCAUUUCAUCCUCAGAUACAGUAUAAUGUAAGGAUAACUUCUUAAAUGAGUUGUUGACAAGACUAGAUUUACUCGGUUGCUACCAUAACCUAUAGCUAAUGACCACAUGGACCCUAAAUAAAACCAGAAUUUGUUGUCCACAUUUCUUAUCUCAUUUACCUGUUCCUGCUUCAUAAGUUUUCCAUUUACAUUUUCUUAUCACUGAAACAUCAUUAGUUACAAAAAUUCACAUUGAAGACUGAAUUUUGAUUAAGUAAAUAUUUUUUAGAUGAAAAUUAUAAAAAUGAACAAUAUUCAAGAAAUCAAUACUUUUUUUCCCAGAACGCUACAUUUAUACUGGUAAAAGAGGGCAUUGAACUAAAAUGAGUGGAGCCUAACAGAGAAGCUGUGCUAGCUACUCUACUUGUAGUCAUUGUCUGCAUUUCAGUAGCUUAACAAAAUUGAAGUCAUUUCUUACUCAUAUCAAAGUACAAUAUGGUUAUUUCUGGUCAAUUAAGGGGAAGGGAGAGUGAUGUUGCUACAAAAAAUUU